AACGAACGCUGGCGGCAUGCCUAACACAUGCAAGUCGAACGAGACCUUCGGGUCUAGUGGCGCACGGGUGCGUAACGCGUGGGAACCUGCCCUUAGGUUCGGAAUAACUCCCCGAAAGGGGUGCUAAUACCGGAUAAUGUCUUCGGACCAAAGAUUUAUCGCCUUUGGAUGGGCCCGCGUUGGAUUAGCUAGUUGGUAGGGUAAAAGCCUACCAAGGCGACGAUCCAUAGCUGGUCUGAGAGGAUGCUCCGCCACACUGGGACUGAGACACGGCCCAGACUCCUACGGGAGGCAGCAGUGGGUAAUAUUGUACACUGGGCGAAAGCCUGAUCCAGCAAUGCCGCGUGAGUGAUGAAGGCCUUAGUGUUGUAAAUCUCUUUUACCCGGGAUGAUAAUGACAGUACCGGGAGAAUAAGCUCCGGCUAACUCCGUG
rnacentral:rRNA from 1 species